CAAUAGCGUAUAUUAAAGUUGUUGCGGUUAAAAAGCUCGUAGUUGGAUUUCUGCUGAGAACGACCGGUCCGCCCUCUGGGUGUGUAUCUGGCUCUUUCUUGGCAUCUUCUUGGUGAACGUUGCUGCACUUGACUGUGUGGAGCGCUACCCAGGACUUUUACUUUGAGGAAAUUAGAGUGUUUCAAGCAGGCAUACGCCUUGAAUACAUUAGCAUGGAAUAAUAAGAUAGGACCUCGGUUCUAUUUUGUUGGUUUCUAGAGCUGAGGUAAUGAUUAAUAGGGAUAGUUGGGGGCAUUCGUAUUUAACUGUCAGAGGUGAAAUUCUUGGAUUUGUGAAAGACGGACUACUGCGAAAGCAUUUGCCAAGGAUGUUUUCAUUG
rnacentral:rRNA from 1 species